UCGGAUAUGGUCUAGCGGUUUAGGAUCGCCCGCUUUCACCGGGCUGGCCCGGGUUCGACUCCCGGUAUCCGAG
rnacentral:tRNA from 1 species